rfam:Anopheles gambiae str. PEST whole genome shotgun sequencing project, whole genome shotgun sequence.
GGCUGGCCAUUUCCUUUCGACCUCCUCGUGGUGCUGGCUGGAGUAUUCAAUUGGUAUUUUUUUAAUACCUUUUGUAUAUACCAACUGGAAAGG